UUAUCUGUCUGACAAUUACAGGCUGUGUCCCAAUUCCUAGGACGCAUCCUUCGAAGGCUGCAUUCGAAGGAUGCGUCGACGCCGAUUGCGUCACAGCGACGCGCCAAGUGCUGUCCCAAUUCCAAGGGUCCUUCAAAUGCGGCCUACGAAUGCAGCCUUCUUUUCCCGGAUUUGAAGGAUGCAUCGGCUGUAUCCUUCACGGCCCAACGUAUCCCAAGAUCCUUCACGGCCCAACGUAUCCCUCCCAAGAUUCAUUGCGCACUCAAUCAAUGGAGUUGGCGGAGAAUGGCGAUUUAAGUUUUGCAUUUAAAUGGAGCCAGCAGCAUACUGCUCGAUUUAUUCUAUAGAGGGGGGAGAACGAUGAGCUGUUCACCGGGGUGAAAUACUCAGCAAGUGUGGCUUGGGGGACAAUUCUGGAGAAAAUAGGCCUGCAGGGGAAGGUGACUCCCCUGCAGGCAAAGAAAAAAUGGGACAAUUUAAAAAAAUAUAUAAAGUUUGUACAUGUCAUUUUAAAUAUACAUUAUUUGUUUUAACCAUGCAAGUUAACCAUGCUGAAAUUUGUUUUAAUACUGCUGUUGUUAACAGCCAUGAUUGAUUUCCUCUGCCUUAGGAUUGCAAGUAUCCAGGGUCAGGAGAGGGGGUAGGUGGGAAACCCACUGCUGCAACUUGGCCCUGGUUGGUCCUCAUGGAUGAGGUAUUGGGACAGAGGCAUUCCACCAACCCCCCUGUCCUAAUUGCCUCCAUCCCUGAGAACACACCAGGGCCAAGUACAGCAAGUACAGCAGUGGUGGAUCAGGAGGUGGAGGACAAGGAUCAGGAGGAGGAAAGACAGCGAGGGCAGAGGUCCAGAAAGAGGGACAGAGAGGAAGACAUGUUCCAGAGUCGCUCACUAUCUUCCGAAAAGGACUCAAGACUCACCUGUUCAGAGUCCACCUCGACUCUGCAUAGCCACCCUCCCCCUUCUGGCCACCAAUGUACACUGUGUUGGAUUGUAUUGUAUUGUAUUGUAUUAUAGACAGUACUUAACUGUGUAACAACUGCAGUAGCUGCUAUCAUGGCUGUAACACAGGGAAUUGAUUAGCCGAUUGUGGUACUUGCACUUGGUUCUAUGAACAUCCUUUCUGUACCGACAGCGAUAUAUUGAUGCACUUCUUAUGACAAAUGUACUUAUUGUAAGUCGCUUUGGAUAAAAGCGUCUGCUAAAUGCCCUAAAUUUAAAUGUAAAAUGUAAAUGUUCCAGUUAAUAAAAGAGGACAUGAGGCUACAAAGGGAGGCAGAGGAGAGAAGAGCCCAGGAGAGAAGGGAAAGAAUGGAUAGGUUUUUCUCAAUUUGAGCGUUUGGUGGACAAAUAACUUAUGUUCUGUUAUAUUUAACACAUUGUUUAUUAUUUACAUAUUUAUUGAAACUAACUUAUUUAACUAACUAUUUAACUAACUUUUUUGAUUAACUAUUUAUUAAAACCCUAACUAACUUUUUUGUAUUGACUAAUGUAUUCGUAUAUAACUUAUAAAACAUAUAUACAACAAUAAAACUAUUUACAACAAAAAACAUUCAUGUGACUA